AGAUACUGUGGCCUCGUGAAUAGGAAUGUGGGCUCAUACAUCAGGAUUGAAAAUAAUGCAUGAAGAUCAAUUAAUCAAAGAAGUCCUGGAUAAAUUCCUUAAUUGUCAUGAGCAAACAUAUGAUGAAGAAUUUCUGAACACUUUUACUCAUCUUUCACAAGAGGAUCUUGUGUCCAAAAGGGGAGUGUUUGGAACUGAUUCUUCGGAAAACAUUUUUACCUAAGCAAAAGUUACUCAUAAAAAUGAAGCUAAUGACUACCAUCUUAGAAAUAAAACCAUUUUUCUUCGUACUUCAUCACAAUGUUUGGAAGAACAGGUAGACAAUUUCCUAGAUUUGGAAGAUUUGGACAUGGAUGAAGAGAAUAAACCCCAAAAAAGUGAGGAUUUGCUGCUGCUCCCAGGAGAAGUGGAGUAGGAUGUAAGCACCAGCAUUCCUUCCUGUAUCCUUCUGUGGCCCAGCCUCCCACCUGUGAAGUGAAGCCAAAGCCUACUGUAAAAAGAAUGGACAAACAGAUGGAAGAGAUAUGUGGAGAUGAAGCUCAACCCUUCUCACUUGAUGAGGAAUUUGAUUAUGACAAUGUGACGCUAACCUCCAAGUUUAGUCCUGCAGAGACAGAGACCAUCAAAGAGCUAGGCAAGCAGAAGAGAAAGGACACCAGCCCAGACUUACAGGAACCCUGUGACUGAUUCACAGAGGCAUUUUUUUGUGUGUUUAUUUUAAUUUUGUUCUUAUUCAAGUAACAUUAGAAUAAAAAAUAAUCCAACUAUAAAAAAAUAAAAUAAAUAAAUAAAAGUGGCAGAGAACUUGGCCAAAUUGUGUUCCAGUGUUUUGUGGAAAUUAGACCUUUUGAUGAUAUUUAGCUGAGGGGAUUUCUAAACAAAGAAUUAAAGGUACAGCCAGUUUUCUUCUUGCUACUGUGAUAAAAUGAAAGGAGACAGAUAAAUGGAAGAAGAAACAACUAAGCAACUAAAAAAAAGUAACACUUAAUGAUUUGGAAGAUUCUCAGCCUAUCCAGAUAGCAUGCUCUGGACACAGUGACAAGGGGGUGGCUGGACAAUCAUUUGCUAAAGAUAUUAGGCAUGUGACUCAUGAAUCCAAUCAAUC